AGCGAACGCUGGCGGCAGGCCUAACACAUGCAAGUCGAACGAACCCUUCGGGGUUAGUGGCGGACGGGUGAGUAACACGUGGGAACGUGCCUUUAGGUUCGGAAUAACUCAGGGAAACUUGUGCUAAUACCGAAUGUGCCCUUCGGGGGAAAGAUUUAUCGCCUUUAGAGCGGCCCGCGCCUGAUUAGCUAGUUGGUGAGGUAAUGGCUCACCAAGGCUACGAUCAGUAGCUGGUCUGAGAGGAUGACCAGCCACAUUGGGACUGAGACACGGCCCAAACUCCUACGGGAGGCAGCAGUGGGGAAUCUUGCGCAAUGGGCGAAAGCCUGACGCAGCCAUGCCGCGUGGAUGAUGAAGGUCUUAGGAUUGUAAAAUCCUUUCACCGGUGAAGAUAAUGACUGUAGCCGGAGAAGAAGCCCCGGCUAACUUCGUGCCAGCCGCCGCGGUAAAAC
rnacentral:rRNA from 1 species